rnacentral:rRNA from 1 species
UACGAAGGGGGCUAGCGUUGCUCGGAAUCACUGGGCGUAAAGGGCGCGUAGGCGGCGUUUUAAGUCGGGGGUGAAAGCCUGUGGCUCAACCACAGAAUGGCCUUCGAUACUGGGAAGCUUGAGUAUGGUAGAGGUUGGUGGAACUGCGAGUGUAGAGGUGAAAUUCGUAGAUAUUCGCAAGAACACCGGUGGCGAAGGCGGUCUGCUGGGCCAAGACUGACGCUGAGGCGCGACAGCGUGGGGAGCAAACAGG